GACGAACGCUGGCGGCGUGCUUAACACAUGCAAGUCGAACGGAAGGGCCCUGCUUUUGUGGGGUGCUCGAGUGGCGAACGGGUGAGUAACACGUGAGUAACCUGCCCUUGACUUUGGGAUAACUUCAGGAAACUGGGGCUAAUACCGGAUAGGAGCUCCUGCUGCAUGGUGGGGGUUGGAAAGUUUCGGCGGUUGGGGAUGGACUCGCGGCUUAUCAGCUUGUUGGUGGGGUAGUGGCUUACCAAGGCUUUGACGGGUAGCCGGCCUGAGAGGGUGACCGGCCACAUUGGGACUGAGAUACGGCCCAGACUCCUACGGGAGGCAGCAGUGGGGAAUAUUGCACAAUGGGCGGAAGCCUGAUGCAGCAACGCCGCGUGCGGGAUGACGGCCUUCGGGUGGUAAACCGCUUUCGCCUGUGACGAAGCGUGAGUGACGGUAAUGGGUAAAGAAGCACCGGCUAACUACGUG
rnacentral:rRNA from 1 species